rnacentral:rRNA from 1 species
GACGAACGCUGGCGGCGUGCCUAAUACAUGCAAGUUGAGCGCUGAAGGUUGGUACUUGUACCAACUGGAUGAGCAGCGAACGGGUGAGUAACGCGUGGGGAAUCUGCCUUUGAGCGGGGGACAACAUUUGGAAACGAAUGAUAAUACCGCAUAAAAACUUUAAACACAAGUUUUAAGUUUGAAAGAUGCAAUUGCAUCACUCAAAGAUGAUCCCGCGUUGUAUUAGCUAGUUGGUGAGGUAAAGGCUCACCAAGGCGAUGAUACAUAGCCGACCUGAGAGGGUGAUCGGCCACAUUGGGACUGAGACACGGCCCAAACUCCUACGGGAGGCAGCAGUAGGGAAUCUUCGGCAAUGGACGAAAGUCUGACCGAGCAACGCCGCGUGAGUGAAGAAGGUUUUCGGAUCGUAAAACUCUGUUGGUAGAGAAGAACGUUGGUGAGAGUGGAAAGCUCAUCAAGUGACGGUAACUACCCAGAAGGGGACGGCUAACUACGUG